AUGGGAAGGGGUGGAGGCAGCUUUGGGAAAGGGAUGGGCGUGGAUUUGGGCAGCCAAGAGCAACGGUGAUAGCCUGUAUCUUUGGGGGUUGUGGGGUCCUUCCUGCCCAACCACAGCAGAAGAAGAAACCCAUCCCUGGCACGGGGAUUUUUAUUUGUCAGCCUCUAGUGUCUAGCAGAAACGUUGUUGCCCUGUUAAAAGGAGUGACACCAACAUUGGAGGACUCACCCCAACCCACUGACUUGAAAACCCCAGCGAACAGCCAGGCAGCCCGAAGAAGACCUCCAGGUGAUGCAGAGGACACUGCCCUAUCACAAACCCCCGUCAGCAGACACACAUCCUACUUAAUGUAGAAACUUGGAGAGACUCCCUGUUAGGCAGUGCUGUGUUUCGGCCGUCAUCACCGGGAAUGCCGAGGCCAUCCAAGUCAAAGCAAAGGAGAAUUUCUGUACUCACCGUUGCCUACCAAAUGAGUAGAACAACUUUACGCUUCCUUCUCGGCUGUGAUGGCUUACUGGUGUGAUUGAAAACAAGCAAACUCCCAGGCAAGAGAACAACUUCACCUUCUGUCGUUCUGCUCGCUCUUUGGAUACAUCACCACCUCCUGGUCUCUGCCUUUGUUCUUAGCAUGUUCUGAGACGUUAGCGGGCAAUGGACUGGGAGAAGAGGCAUGAACUAAGUCAGGUCUGGCUGCAAGUCAUUGGAAAACAUGGGCUCGCUUCGAACUUCCGUCUGUCGCUGUCCGCUCCUGCCUGGCCUCCCGGCUGCCGCAGCCCUGCUGCUAACGGGCAACAUCCCCUGGACCACAGCGCUUCUUAAUGAACACCCCCCCCCCCGCAAAGCAUCCUCAUUGAGCACUCACAAAACAAGUUAACUUAUGAAGAGCUCCCUAGGCCUCCCAGCGUUCCCUCUGCCCACUGACGGCCACUCUUGGCUGUGCUCUCUCAUGGGGUGCUGUGCUUUGUAGCUGGAGUAAGCCUCGGCAAAGUGGCUUAGACCGGGGAGGGGAGAGUGAGCUGUUAGGUCCAAUCAGCACUUCCAGGAGUUACCAUGACAUUCUUGAUUCCAGCACGUAGAACGUCUGGUAGCAUCAGCCAUACUUCAACACUCUGCUGAGCACAUUUUUCAAAGCACUUUCCAACUGUUCUAGCAGUUUGGAGCUGUAGCCCCUUGCAGUAGCUGUAGAAACGCAUUGUUGGGCUUUCUCCUCAGCUGUCUGCAUCGGCAGGUACCCCAGCUGUAAAGUGCUGUCUUACCAGAGCCCUGUUCUGUCUGCACCCAGCGUCUGAGUGAGGUGGGCAAGUGAUGGACCCGUCCAGAGCCCCAGGAUUCCAUCAGUCUUCAGAAGGUGCAGCCUUCCUUCUGCCAGAUCUAGCUUUCUCCCCACUGCCUUCACAGAGGUCCACCCCCCCCCCCCCCGUAACCCCGUAACUGCCUUGUGCCCUGUGGUGGUUUGAAUGAGAAUGACCUCCGGGGUUCAUAUGCUUAUUUAAAUGCUUGAUCCCUGGUUGUUAGAAUUGUUUGGGAAGGAUUAGGAGGCGUAUCCUUGGGCCUUGGGGUUGCAAAAGUGUAAGGCAUUUCCAGUUACCUCUCCCUAUUUUUGUUGUACCUCAAGAUGGAAGCUUUCUGCAGCUGCCUGGGCCCCAUGCCCGCCUGCCUGCUGUCCUGUUCUCUGCCAUGAUGAUCAUGGACUCUAACCCUUGGAUCCACAACCCUGAAUU